CUUCAGUGAUGAUACGAUGACGAGACAGAAUGGGACACCGUCUGUUCUGUUGGUUACUGGUCCAGGUCCACGUUCUGUGGUUCUGUUCUAGUUCCUCAGACCAGCGAGUCCUCUUUAUGUGAAGACAAAGAGGCAUUUGUCUGAGAAGG
rnacentral:snoRNA from 1 species